GGCCAAAGGAGAGAUCCGCCAUUGGAGGGGCCUGCGUUCGAUUAGCUAGUUGGUUGGGUAAAGGCUGACCAAGGCGAUGAUCGAUAGCUGGUUUGAGAGGAUGAUCAGCCACACUGGGACUGAGACACGGCCCAGACUCCUACGGGAGGCAGCAGUGGGGAAUAUUGGACAAUGGGGGCAACCCUGAUCCAGCAAUGCCGCGUGUGUGAAGAAGGUCUUCGGAUUGUAAAGCACUUUCACUAGGGAAGAUGAUGACGGUACCUAGAGAAGAAGCCCCGGCUAACUUCGUGCCAGCANCCGCGGUAAUACNAAGGGGGCUAGCGUUGCUCGGAAUGACUGGGCGUAAANGGCGCGUAGGCUGUUUGUACAGUCAGAUGUGAAAUCCCCGGGCUUAACCUGGGAACU
rnacentral:rRNA from 1 species